rnacentral:rRNA from 1 species
UGGGGAAUAUUGCACAAUGGGGGAAACCCUGAUGCAGCGACGCCGCGUGGAGGAAGAAGGUCUUCGGAUUGUAAACUCCUGUUGUUGGGGAAGAUAAUGACGGUACCCAACAAGGAAGUGACGGCUAACUACGUGCCAGCAGCCGCGGUAAAACGUAGGUCACAAGCGUUGUCCGGAAUUACUGGGUGUAAAGGGAGCGCAGGCGGGAAGACAAGUUGGGAGUGAAAUAUAUGGGCUCAACCCAUAAACUGCUUUCAAAACUGUUUUUCUUGAGUAGUGCAGAGGUAGGCGGAAUUCCCGGUGUAGCGGUGGAAUGCGUAGAUAUCGGGAGGAACACCAGUGGCGAAGGCGGCCUACUGGGCACCAACUGACGCUGAGGCUCGAAAGUGUGGGUAGCAAACAGGAUUAGAUACCCUGGUAGUCCACACCGUAAACGAUGAUUACUAGGUGUUGGAGGAUUGACCCCUUCAGUGCCGCAGUUAACACAAUAAGUAAUCCACCUGGGGAGUACGACCGCAAGGUUGAAACUCAAAGGAAUUGACGGGGGCCCGCACAAGCAGUGGAGUAUGUGGUUUAAUUCGACGCAACGCGAAGAACCUUACCAAGUCUUGACAUCCCUUGACAGGCAUAGAAAUAUGUUUUCUCUUCGGAGCAAGGAGACAGGUGGUGCAUGGUUGUCGUCAGCUCGUGUCGUGAGAUGUUGGGUUAAGUCCCGCAACGAGCGCAACCCUUAUGGUCAGUUACUACGCAAGAGGACUCUGGCCAGACUGCCGUUGACAAAACGGAGGAAGGUGGGGAUGACGUCAAAUCAUCAUGCCCUUUAUGACUUGGGCUACACACGUACUACAAUGGCGUUAAACAAAGAGAAGCAAGACCGCGAGGUGGAGCAAAACUCAGAAACAACGUCCCAGUUCGGACUGCAGGCUGCAACUCGCCUGCACGAAGUCGGAAUUGCUAGUAAUCGUGGAUCAGCAUGCCACGGUGAAUACGUUCCC